CUGGUUGUGAGGCAGAGAGGGCCUCUCCAUACCAGACUCUCUGCACAGGAAGAGUGGGGCAGGUCAAGCUGCCGAUCCAGGGGGAAAAAAUACAAUGUUCAUCACCUUAAAGGCCGACAAAGCAUUUGGCAAAAUUCAACAUUUCUUCAUAGAAUCACUUCAUAAAAUAUAAGUAAAUGAAUAGUUCCUUAAUAUGAAUACCAAAUGUAUGUAUCUUAGUUAAAAAGUCUGAAUUAUGCUUAGCAGGGAAACUAUGGAGGCAUUUCUGUCACAGUUAUGAACACAUCCAGGAUGACAAUGAUUACUUUUUAAUAUUGAACUAAAGUACAGACAGAUUAUGACAACAACUAGGUGGGAAGUGAGGGAAACUAGGAAAAAGCCACAUAUCUUGAUUGUAGAGUUGCAUCAGAAUUAGACCUUGUUCAAGAUUAUAUACACGUGCUUAAGAAAAUACCCUAAUAUGAGAACAACAAAAGAUACUGCAGCAAUAAAUCUAAUUCUUAAAAGGUGAAAGAAGCUGAGUGCCGUGGCUUAUGCCUUAUAAUCCCAUCACUUUGGAAGGCCAGGUGGGUGGAUCACUUGAGGCCAGGAGUUGGAGACCAGCUUGGCCCACAUGGUAAAACUCUGUCUCCACUAAAAAUACAAAAAAAUUUGUGGUGGUGCGCACCUGUAAUUCUAGCUACUCAGGAAGCUGAAGCAUGAGAAUUGUUUGAACCCAGGAGGCGGAGGUUGCAGUGAACUGAGAUCAGGCCACUACACUCCAGCCUGGGCAACAGAGCGAGUCUGUCUGAGUACAUAAAUAAAUAAAUUAAAUUAAAUUAAAAAGGUGAAAGAAUAACAUCCUUUUACAGAUGAUCUACUAGAGCAAAGAGAAGUAUGUUUUAGGAAUUUUUUGUUUUAUAUUAUUCAAAAAUCAGGAAAACAUAGACUCUGCAAUACAGAUGAUCCAAGCUGAGAAAAGACAACAGAUUGAGCUGAAAACUGAUUUACUGAGAUCAGCUGUGAUAAAAGAAAGCAAAAUGAAAUAGAAAGAGAUUGAAUUAAUUAAAAUUAAAUAAAUUAAAAUUUUCAGUAGAAGCACUGAACUGUAGACUUAAAACUGAAGAAAGUGAAAUCGGUCAUGUAGGAAAACUAACAUAAGAAGCUCUGCCAGAAUACAGAAAUAGAAUAAUAGAAUGAUGAAGAAAGGAAAAAGUCCUUUGGUUAUAAAUGAUAAUUUUGUUCCCUUUGCAGGGAGAGUUUACAGAUCUUGAGGGGCAGUGUCAUCAGUUGUAACACUGGUAAUUGGAGACAGAUACAGUCGAGCAUUUUAGAAUUUGAAAUAUGCCUUCUGCUUUUCAAAUUACUUGAAAAUCUUUUCUACAAAAGUAGAAAAGAUGAAAGAUCAAAGAAAAAAUAUUUCUUAGAGCAAAAGCUAGAAAACAGCAAAAAAGUAUGAACAAAAAAUGUGAAACAAGAUCAGAUAUUUCACUGACAGGGAAUAUAAAUGGGUUGAGUUCCCUAUUAAAAACGAAAACCUCUUCAGUAUAUGUAAGGCCAUAGCCAAAUGAUCUUUCUGCAGGUAAUAAUGAUAAAUUCUGAGCAAAAUACUCUACACAACUAUGUGAAGGUCCUGGAGAGUAAAAAAAAAAAAAAAAAAAGGCUGGCAGAUUCUUGAGGAAAGACAACACUUGGAAGAAUGUCCAGCAUGGAGAGUUUCCUGUUUUUCAUGAUACCAGCCUCAGGGCAGGGUAAAGUCAGUGCUGCAUUGAUACCUGCUAUUCUCAUAGAAAAUCCAGUCUUUCUGGCCUGAAAAACCAGAUGACAGAGUUUGCGGUAAGAACUACUGCUGGAAAAUGAGAAAUGGAUCCCAGAGAGAACUAGAUUGGUAUAGCCUGAGGUUCUGUGUGUAACCCCUGCCCAAAUCUCAGACUGACUUCUGAACCAUGCAUAUGCAGGGCAGACUAACAGCUACCCAACUAGGGGUAGGUCCAGAACUGAGAUUUGAGUUGCUGCCCAAGAGAAGAGUUUGUAGUUUGAAUCCAAGCAAGAUAAUUGCCUACUAAAGCAAAAAUAUCAACAUUCUUCAGUGAAGAAAAUGAAAUUCACAGUAUAACAUUCACGAGGUCCAGGAUACAAUCCAAAAUUGAAAAUGAGGAAAAUGUGUCCCAUUCUGAAGACAAAAAGCAGUUAACAGAGACUAUCCCCCAAUAUGAACUGGAUUAGCAGACAACUAUUAUAAAGCAGCUGGGGAAGCAAUUGCUGGGAGAGGGUGAGGUAAAGAAAAUAUGUUCAGAAUGAGUGAAAAGACAAGAAAUCUCAGCAGAGAACUGAAAUCAUAAAAAAUUUAAAUUCUAGAACUAUAAAAUAUAAUAUCUUAUAUAAAAAUUCACUUGAUGGGCUUAAUAGCAGAAUGGAGAUAACAGAGGAAAGGUUCAAAUAACUUAAAAUUAUCCCAUGUAAAGAAUAGAAAGAGAAUAAUUAGAAGAAAAGAAACAGAGCAUUAGGAAUGUGAGGAACUGUGCAAGCUUCUAACAUAUUUCCAAUUAGAAUCCCAGAAGACAAAGAGGAGAGAAUGAGGCAGAAAAACUUUUGAAAAAACAGUGACUGAAAAAUUUCCAAAUCUGAAACACAUAAAUUUAUAGAUUCCAGAAACUUAGUGAACUUAAAGCAGAAUAAAUUAAGCACACUUUAGUAAAACUGCUAAAAACCUAAGGUAAAGAGCAAAUCUAGAAAGCAACCAGAGAAAACGUGACACAUUAAAUAUAGAGGUUUUGGGAACAGGCCCCCAAAAUCUGGCCAUAAACUGGCCCAAAACUGGCCAUAAACAAAAUCUCUGCAGCACUGUGACACAUUUGUGAUGGCCAUGAUGCCCACGCUGAAGGUUGUGGGUGUACUGGAAUGAGGGCAAGGAACACCUGGCCCACCCAGGGCGGAAAACCGCUUAAGGCGUUCUUAAACCACAAAUGAUAGCAUGAGUGAUCGAUGCCUUAAGGACAUGUUCUUGCUGCAGAUAACUAGCCAGAGCCCAUCCCUUUAUUUCAGCCCAUCCCUUUGUUUCCCAUAAGGAAUACUUGUAGUUAAUCUAUAAUCCAUAGAAAAAAUGCUUAUCACUGGCUUGCUGUCAAUAAAUAUGUGGGUAAAUCUCUGUUCGAGGCUCUCAGCUCUGAAGGCUGUGAGACCACUGAUUUCCCACUCCACACGCUAUAUUUCUGUACGUGUGUCUUUAAUUUCUCUAGCGCCGCUGGGUUAGGGUCUCCACAAGCGAGCUGGUCUCUGCAUGGAGGAGUGAUGAUUGGGAACUGAUGACUUCUGUUAGAAACUUUGGAGCUCAGAGACAGUGGAACAUCUUUAAAAUGUUGAGAGGAAGAACCAUCAACUUAGAAUCUUAUUCUAGAACUUCCUGCGAGAAUGAAGACAGUAGCUCACACCUGUAAUCCCAGUGCUUUGGGAGGCUGAGGCAGGAGGAUUGCUUGGGGCUAGGAGUUUAAGACCUACCUGAGCAACAUAGUGAGACCCCAUCUCUACAAGAAAUUUAGAAAAAAUUAGCUGGUGUGGUGGCACAUGCCUGCAGUGGGAGCUUCUCAGGAGGCUGAGGUUGGGGAAUCACUUGAGCCCACAAAUUUGAGGCUGCAGUGAGCUAUAAUUGUGCCACUGCACUCUAGCCUGGGCAACAGAAUGAGACUCUGUCUCUCAAAUAAAUAAAUAAAAGAAUGAAGGCAAAAUAAAGACAUUCUAAGAUUAAAAAGAAAAAUGCCUCUCCUGGGCAUGGUGGCUUAUGCCUGUAAUCUCAGCACUUUGGGAGGCCAAGGCGGGUGGAUCACCUGAGGUCAGAAGUUUGAGACCAGCCUGGCCAACAUGGUGAAACCCUGUCUCUACCAAAAAUACAAAAUUAGCUGGGCAUGGUGGCGCAUACCUGUAAUCCCAGCUAUUUGGGGGGCUGGGGCAGGAGAAUCGCUUGAACUUGAGAGGCAGAGGUUGCAGUGAGCCAAGAUAGUGCCAUUGCACUCCAGCUUAGACAACAAGAGCAAAACUCCAUCUCAAAAAAAAAAAGAAAAGAAAAGAAAAGAAAAAUACCUAAGAGAAUUUAUCACCAACAAACUUGUACUACAAGAGAUUCCAAAACAUGUUCUUCAGGUAGAAGGAAAAUAAUGGGUGGGUACUUCAGUGAUGAAGAAGUGAAAUGCAUCAGAAAUGAAAAUGGUGAAUAGUGGGGUAAAUAUAAGCACUAGUUUUUUCUCUUAGUUUCUUUAAAAUGUAAUUGAUUGUUUUACAUAAAACUAUAGUGUUGUCUUAUAGAGUUUAUAGUGUAUGUAGAUGUGAUACAUGUGACACCAGUAGCAGAAAGGGGGAUGUUUAGUUGGUUCUAUACGAAUGCAGUGUUUCUACAUUUUUUUGAAGUGAUAUGAUAUUCUAAGUAGAGCAUGAAAAGCUAAGGAUGUAUAUUGUAAUCAUAGAACAACAACUAAAAUAAAGGCUGAUAGAUUAAAUUAAAAAGGAAUUUUAAAAUGUAUUCAAAUAAUCCAAAAAAUGUAGGCAAAAAGUAAAAGAAGGGACAGAAGGAAAACAAAUAAUAAAAUCAUGGACCUAAAUAUUAAAUGUUAAUGAACAUUCCAAUUAAAAGGUAGAGAUUAUCAGAACAAAUUUAAAAAAUACCAAGAGAUAUACUUUAAAAAUAAAGACACAGAUAGAUCAAAAGCAAUUGUAUGCAAAAAGAUAUAGCAUCCAAACAGUAAUGAUACGAUGGCUAACAUGGAUGUAUUAGUGCCAGAUUAAAUAAACUUCAGGAAAAGCUGGGCUUCUCUUUCACAGCAAAGAUGGAUUCUGAGGUGGAUGGGGAGUUCAGCUUCCCAGGGUGGCUUCCCAAGGUGGCGAAGGCUGUGGCCACACCAUGGUCUCAGAUGCUGAGGCAGGCCUAUGUGACUGCCAGUGGGUAGGCCAUGGUGAGUGGAGAAAACAGGCAGUUGUCCCCUCUGCAUGCCCUGCACAUACACCUGGGCUAUGGGCCCCACCAGCGGAUGUUUGUGCAGGGCUCAGCCUUUCCCUCGUUGGUUUCUGGCAGAACUAGGCCUGUGUCCCUUGUUCCUGGGCCAUAGUGCUGAAGUUUGUCUUCUAGGGAUUAGGUUGUAGAUAAAUCAAGUAUUGUAUGGUGGCUUGUGGAAGACAGUUUUGACUCUAAGAUCAGUUCAACAACCGUUAGCUUCAGCUAUAAUCAUUUAUGAUAUCAAAAAGAAGAAAUAUUUUCAACAUUAAGGAAUUGAUUACAUGAUUUUUAAGUUUUUUUUCUUUCUUGUAUCAAGGGACAAGUCAUAGAUUAAAAAAUUUUUGACAGCAAGCCCUAUCUAAUUUUAUAGUUGACAAAUGUGUGCUAUUAUCACAAAGGAGAAGUCAGAGAAAGAUGCUACAGACUGCGCCAAUUCAUUCAUACAAUUUUUCUGUAGUUCAAAAACCACAAUGUCUCACAUUGUCUAGCAGCUAGAAUUUUUUUAUUUAUUUAUUUUUUUUUUUAGUUUAAGAAAAGCAAAAGACCACAGUGAACUUAAAUGAACUCUUUAAACAAAUGAGUUGAAUAAUUCCAUCCACUUACACUAACACCCCAUCUGGUAGUAAGGCCUUUAGACUCCAAAGACAAUCUAGAGGCAAAGUGGAAGCUAUUGUUGGCUGAGCCUCAGUCACUCAUACUUCAUAAUGAAAUAGAUAGUUUUAAAAGUUAACAGGAUGAUUCUGGUCACUGCCAUUAGUUUGUACAUGGGUUUUGGGUCUUUUUCACACACAAAGGAUUCCCAGAAAUGUCUAAGUUUUGUUCUCUUUAUCAUUUUUUAUUGCGUCUAUUUGAUUCUUCUCUCUUUUCUUCUUUAUUAGUCUUGCUAGCGCUCUAUCAAUUUUGUUGAUCCUUUCAAAAAACCAGCUCCUGGAUUCAUUAAUUUUUUGAAGGGUUUUUUGUGUCUCUAUUUCCUUCAGUUCUGCUCUGAUUUUAGUUAUUUCUUGCCUUCUGCUAGCUUUUGAAUGUGUUUGCUCUUGCUUUUCUAGUUCUUUUAAUUGUGAUGUUAGGGUGUCAAUUUUAGAUCUUUCCUGCUUUCUCCUGUGGGCAUUUAGUGCUAUAAAUUUCCCUCUGCACACUGCUUUGAAUGUGUCCCAGAGAUUCUGGUAUGCUGUGUCUUUGUUCUUGUUGGUUUCAAAGAACAUCUUUAUUUCUGCCUUCAUUUCGUUAUGUACCCAGUAGUCAUUCAGGAGCAGGUUGUUCAGUUUCCAUGUAGUUGAGCGGUUUUGAGUGAGUUUCUUAAUCCUGAGUUCUAGUUUGAUUGCACUGUGGUCUGAGAGACAGUUUGUUAUAAUUUCUGUUCUUUUACAUUUGCUGAGGAGAGCUUUACUUCCAACUAUGUGGUCAAUUUUGGAAUAGGUGUGGUGUGGUGCUGAAAAAAAUGUAUAUUCUGUUGAUUUGGGGUGGAAAGUUCUGUAGAUGUCUAUUAGGUCUGCUUGGUGCAGAGCUGAGUUCAAUUCCUGGGUAUCCUUGUUAACUUUCUGUCUUGUUGAUCUGUCUAAUGUUGACAGUGGGGUGUUAAAGUCUCCCAUUAUUAUUGUGUGGGAGUCUAAGUCUCUUUGUAGGUCACUCAGGACUUGCUUUAUGAAUCUGGGUGCUCCUGUAUUGGGUGCAUAUAUAUUUAGGAGAGUUAGCUCUUCCUGUUGAAUUGAUCCCUUUACCAUUAUGUAAUGGCCUUCUUUGUCUCUUUUGAUCUUUGUUGGUUUAAAGUCUGUUUUUUGAGAGACUAGGAUUGCAACCCCUGCCUUUUUUUGUUUUCCAUUUGCUUGGUAGAUCUUCCUCCAUCCUUUUAUUUUGAGCCUGUGUGUGUCUCUGCACGUGGGAUGGGUUUCCUGAAUACAGCACACUGAUGGGUCUUGACUCUUUAUCCAAUUUGCCAGUCUGUGUCUUUUAAUUGGAGCAUUUAGUCCAUUUACAUUUAAAGUUAAUAUUGUUAUGUGUGAAUUUGAUCCCGUCAUUAUGAUGUUAACUGGUUAUUUUGCUCGUUAGUGGAUGCAGUUUCUUCCUAGCCUCGAUGGUCUUUACAAUUUGGCAUGAUUUUGCAGUGGCUAGUACCAGUUGUUCCUUUCCAUGUUUAGUGCUUCCUUCAGGAGCUCUUUUAGGGCAGGCCUGGUGGUGACAAAAUCUCUCAGCAUUUGCUUGUCUGUAAAGUAUUUUAUUUCUCCUUCACUUAUGAAGCUUAGUUUGGCUGGAUAUGAAAUUCUGGGUUGAAAAUUCUUUCCUUUAAGAAUGUUGAAUAUUGGCCCCCACUCUCCUCUGGCUUGUAGAAUUUCUGCCGAGAGAUCCGCUGUUAGUGUGAUGGGCUUCCCUUUGUGGGUAACCCGACCUUUCUCUCUGGGUGCCUUUAACAUUUUUUCCUUCAUUUCAACUUUGAUGAAUCUGACAAUUACGUGUCUUGGAGUUGUUUUUCUCGAGGAGUAUCUUUGUGGCGUUCUCUGUUUUUCCUGAAUUUGAAUGUUGACCUGCCUCGCUAGGUUGGGGAAGUUCUCCUGGAUAAUAUCCUGAAGAGUGUUUUCCAACUUGGUUCCAUUCUCCCUUUCACUUUCAGGUACACCAAUCAGACGUAGAUUUGGUCUUUUCACAUAGUCCCAUAUUUCUUGGAGGCUUUGUUCAUUUCUUUUUACUCUUUUUUCUCUAAACUUCUCUUCUCGCUUCAUUUCAGCUUCAUCACUGAUAUCCUUUCUUCCAGUUGAUUGAAUCGGCUACUGAAGCUUGUGCAUUCAUCAUGUAGUUCUCAUGCCAUGAUUUUCGGCUCCAUCAGGCCAUUUUAGGACUUCUCUACACUGGUUAUUCUAGUUAGCCAUUCGUCUAAUCUUUUUUCAAGGUUUUUAGCUUCUUUGAGUUGGGUUCGAACUUCCUCCUUUAGCUUGGAGAAGUUUGAUCGUCUGAAUCCUUCUUCUCUCAACUUGUCAAAGUCAUUCUCUGUCCAGCUUUGUACCGUUGCUAGCGAGGAGCUGCGUUCCUUUGGAGGGGGAGAGGUGCUCUGAUUUUUAGAAUUUUCAGCUUUUCUGCUUGUUAUUUCCCCAUCUUUGUGGUUUUAUCUACCUUUGGUCUUUGAUGAUGGUGACUUACAGAUGGCGUUUUGGUGUGGAUGUCCUUUCUGUUUGUUAGUUUUCCUUCUAACUGUCAGGACCCUCAGCUGCAGGUCUGUUGGAGUUUGCUGGAGGUCCACUCCAGACGCUGUUUGCCUGGGCAUCAGCAUUGGAGGCUGCAAACAGCGAAUAUUGCUGAACAGCAAAUGUUGCUGCAUGAUCAUUCCUCUGGAAGCUUCGUCUCAGAGGGGUACCCACUGUGUGAGGUGUCAGUCUGACCCUGCUGGGGGGUGCCUCCCAGUUAGGCUGCUCCUGGGUCAGGGACCUACUUGAGGAGGCAGUCUGUCCUUUCUCAAAUCUCAAACUCCAUACUGGGAGAACCACUACUCUCUUCAAAGCUCAGUUGGAAAUGCAGAAAUCACCCGUCUUCUGCGUCGCUCACGCUGGGAGCUGUAGACUGGAGGUGUUCCUAUUCGGCCAUCUUGGAACCCCCAUCACCCCACAAUUUCUUUAUGUAUUUGUUGAUUGAUGGGCAUUUGGGCUGGUUCCGUAUUUUUGCAAUUGCGAAUUGUGCUGCUAUAAACAUGCAUGUGCAGGUAUCUUUUUUGUAUAAUGACCUCUUUUCCUCUGGGUAGAUAUCCAAGAGUGGGAGGUAGAUACCCAAGAGUGGGAUUGCUGGAUCAAAUGGAAUUUCUACUGUUAAUUCUUUAAGGAAUCUUCACAUUAGUGGUUGUACUAGUUUACAUUCCCACCAGCAGUGUAGAAGUGUUCCUUUUUUACCGCAUCCACACCAACAUCUAUUAUUUUUUGAUUUUUUGAUUAUGGCCAUUCUUGCAGGAGUAAGGUGGUAUUGCAUUGUGGUUUUGAUUUGCAUUUCCCUGAUCAUUAGUGAUGUUGAGCAUUUUUUCAUGUUUGUUGGCCAUUUAUGUACCUUCUUUUGAGAAUUGUCUAUUCAUGUCCUUAGCCCACUUUUUGAUGGGAUUAUUUAUUUUUUUCUUGCCAACUUGUUUGAGUUCCUUGUAGAUUCUGGAUAUCAGUCCUUUGUCAGUUGUAUAAAUUGUGAAGAUUUUCUCCCACUCUGUGCGUUGUCUGUUUACUCUGCUGACUGUUCCUUUUGCUGGGCAGAAGCUCUUUAGUGUAGUUAAGUCCCACCUAUUUAUCUUUGGUUUUAUUGCAUAUGCUUUUGGUUUCUUGGUCAUGAAGUCUUUGUCUAAGCCAAUGUCUAGAAGGGUUUUUUUGAUGUUAUCUUCUGGAAUUUUUUGGAUGAAACAUUUUAAAAAGCCAUGCAACAGAAUGCGUUUCUAGAGGAUGCAUUUCUUGGUCCCUCAACUGCUUCAUGUCUUUUCUCACCUAAAAAGUAAUAAUAAUAAAAAUACAGCGUACAGUACAAGGCUCAACAUUGUAGGUAGAGACUGAAAGCCUGCCAUUGUUAAUGUUGUUUGCAACCAGCGUAGGUGUUCUGAUGAUGCUACCAUGCUGCUUACUUACCAUGAACACAUUAUUUUUUAUUGUAUUAAUGAUAUGUCAUAUUUUUUCCUGUUGAGUAUUUAUAUGUGAAUAAGUAUAAGAAAAUGAUUGCUGUGCUUGCUUUGGAAGCACAUAUAUUAAAAUUGGAAUGAUACAGAGAAGAUUAGCAUGGCUUCUGCACAAGGAUAAGUUUUAUUUAAAAGAUGUAAAAUUUUUUAAAAAAGAAAAUGUUUGCUUAUUGGUAGCAUAUAAAGACAGGAAUGAUGGUGAUGCUUAACAACCACAGAUUGUCCUCAUGGGUGGCAGAGAUAGUGAUACCUUCGCUUUCUGAUCAUUAAAUGUACACAGUCUUUGUUUCAUGCACAAAAUUAUUAAAAAUAUUGUAUAAAAUUACUUUUAGGUGAUGUAUAUAAGUUAUAUAUGGAACAUAAAUGAAUUUCUUGUUUAGACUUGGGUCUUACUUAUUAUGAUUUGUGUACAGUGCCUGGCAAAUUGUGUAGCUUCUAGUAGGUAUUCUGUAAAUCUUGGUUCCUCUUUUUAUUUAUCUGUUGUCUUCAGCACUCGUUUCAGUGAAGACAUAGUAGAAUUCAUCAAUGUGUGUUGAAUUGAAUAUCAAGCUAUAAUAUACUAUCAAAUGGGAACAUUUAAUGAGCUGUACUACCUACAGAUUUAGUAAAUUGUUGUUUGAACUUUAGUUCUUUUAAAAGAAGCUAUUUCAGCAACAGCUGCUUAAAUAGUCUAUAGGUAGUCUUUUCUUUUAGUCUGUAAUACAAUAAGAAUCUCCUAGAAGGAUAAAUCAAAUUGGUUCCAUGAAACCAUAAAAUUAUUGUGUGAUAAUUUAUAGGAAACCUCCUUUAACAACAUGUUUUAAAAGUUUUUGUUACUCUAAAUCGAUAUGUAUAUAUAUAAAUAAGCAUUAUUCAGCUUCUUGGUUUGACACUUGGAUUUUUAAGGAAAAGAUCUGCGUAUCCAUGUGCAUCUCCAAAAUAUUUAUUUAGGUACUUGUAAUUACUUUAAAAAUCCUCUUUGUUUGUGUUUCAUCUGUAGGUAUUAUAGCUAUUCACUGUUGAGAAUUUAGAGGUACUUAUACCAUUUUUUACAAAAUGAAUGUCCCAUAAUUCUAGCAUUCUGUUUUAUAUGACCAAGUGCUCAUUUCACUCUGUUUAGAGAUCAUGAAGGAAUCAUAGUCAAGAACUCCUGAAUUUUAAAAUAGUAUUUAGUAAUGACAAAUGUUGAUAUAAAUGUAUUAUGAAAUCUUUAUGUCUAAGAAAAAUAAUAUUAAACAGCUAAUAUUAAAAAUUUUGUUGGCUAAAUAACAUUUCAAGAGAUGGAUGUAUUGCAUUGAUAAUUAGCACGAUAUUUGAAUUACAAAAAACUCUUCAAUUUAAUGCGUAUGGUCCAUUUUCACUUGUGUUCUAUAAAAACCUAAAGGUUCUUAAGCCAAAUGAUUUCUGUUUAGAAUUCUGUUUAGAAUACAUUUCUCAGAGCAUAUAGUUUUGGAUGAUAUAUAUAUCCUUGUAAAGGCUGAUUUUUUAAAAAGUUCAUCCUUUAAAAAAUUAAGUCUGUAAGACUUAAAGGCAUUGGUAUUCUACUUUAACUUUGUUGAUGAGUGGAAAUCUUUUAAUCAAGAAUAUUACAAGUGGGUCUUUACAUCUCUCAUUGUCAUUAAUGAACUAAAAGGUGCAUACUUGUUAAACUACAUCUCAGAGCCUUAUACAUCCAUAAAAAAGAUGUUAUUCUACAAGUAGGACCAAAGUGUUACCUUAACAUAGAUGAACUUUCAUUAGUGUAGUAUCUUAGUUUUAAUUCUAUAACAUUGUGCUCUUUAAUAAUCACUAAUUAUAUGUAUGGCUUUUUUCCCAAUAAAAUUUUUAAAGG